GACGAACGCUGGCGGCGUGCUUAACACAUGCAAGUCGAACGGAAAGGCCCUGCUUUUGUGGGGUGCUCGAGUGGCGAACGGGUGAGUAACACGUGAGUAACCUGCCCUUGACUUUGGGAUAACUUCAGGAAACUGGGGCUAAUACCGGAUAGGAGCUCCUGCUGCAUGGUGGGGGUUGGAAAGUUUCGGCGGUUGGGGAUGGACUCGCGGCUUAUCAGCUUGUUGGUGGGGUAGUGGCUUACCAAGGCUUUGACGGGUAGCCGGCCUGAGAGGGUGACCGGGCCACAUGGGGCCGGAGCACGGCCCCGACCUCAAGGGGGGGCAAGAAGGGGGGAAGAUUGCAAAAGGGCGGGAAGCGUGAUGCAGCCGCGCCGGGGGGGGGAUGGGGGCUUUGGGUUUGAAACCCGCUUCCGCCUGUAAGAAGGGGGGGGGGGGGGUAGGGGGAAAAAAGACCCGGGCAAAUUACGGG
rnacentral:rRNA from 1 species